rnacentral:rRNA from 1 species
UUGGGCCCUAAGCAUCCGUAGCCGGCUCUGUAAGUUUUCGGUUAAAUCUGUACGCUCAACGUACAGGCUGCCGGGAAUACUGCAGAGCUAGGGAGUGGGAGAGGUAGACGGUACUCGGUAGGAAGGGGUAAAAUCCUUUGAUCUAUUGAUGACCACCUGUGGCGAAGGCGGUCUACCAGAACACGUCCGACGGUGAGGGAUGAAAGCUGGGGGAGCAAACCGGAUUAGAUACCCGGGUAGUCCCAGCUGUAAACUAUGCAAACUCAGUGAUGCAUUGUUGUGCAAUGCAGUGCUGCAGGGAAGCCGUUAAGUUUGCCGCCUGGGAAGUACGUACGCAAGUAUGAAACUUAAAGGAAUUGGCGGGGGANCAC